AACGAACGCUGGCGGCAUGCCUAAUACAUGCAAGUCGAACGAUCACUUCGGUGGUAGUGGCGCACGGGUGCGUAACGCGUGGGAAUCUGCCCUUGGGUUCGGAAUAACUUCGGGAAACUGAAGCUAAUACCGGAUGAUGACGUUAAGUCCAAAGAUUUAUCGCCCAGGGAUGAGCCCGCGUAGGAUUAGCUAGUUGGUGGGGUAAAGGCCUACCGAGGCGACGAUCCUUAGCUGGUCUGAGAGGAUGAUCAGCCACACUGGGCAUGGGACACGGCGCAGACUCCUACGGGAGGCAGCAGUAGGGAAUAUUGGACAAUGGGCGCAAGCCUGAACCAGCAAUGCCGCGUGGGUGAUGAAGGCCUUAGGGUUGUAAAGCUCUUUUACCCGGGAUGAUAAUGACAGUACCGGGAGAAUAAGCUCCGGCUAACUCCGUGCCAGCCGCCGCGGUAA
rnacentral:rRNA from 1 species